rnacentral:misc_RNA from 1 species
GAAAUGCGAUAAGUAAUGUGAAUUGCAGAAUUCAGUGAAUCAUCGAAUCUUUGAACGCACAUUGCGCCCCUUGGUAUUCCAUGGGGCAUGCCUGUUCGAGCGUCAUCUACACCCUCAAGCUCUGCCCAACCAGAACAUAGUAAGCACUACUUGUCCGGGUGAAGCUGAACGGUACGGCCUGAACAAAACCUACCCACUCUCAAGGUUUGACCUCAGAUCAGACAAGGAUACCCACUGAACUUAAGC